UGGGCGGAAAGCGGGCGAAGGUGGUUUGUUAAGUCUGAUGUGAAAGCCCCGGGAUCAACCUGGGAAUUGCAGUGGAUACUGGCGAGCUAGAGUGCGGUAGAGGGUAGUGGAAUUCCCGGUGUAGCAGUGAAAUGCGUAGAGAUCGGGAGGAACAUCUGUGGCGAAGGCGACUGCCUGGACCAGCACUGACACUGAGGCACGAAAGCGUGGGGAGCAAACAG
rnacentral:rRNA from 1 species